GACGCUCGCUUGACUCCGAGGAAGCGGAAAGAAAACGAGGGAUGUGGGCGUGAGGAGUGUGUGAGUGUGUGUGUGUGUGUGUGUGUCAAGCUGUAUCUCGCGUAUUUCAUCUUUCUGAGCAACUACUGGAGGCGCAGUGGAGCACGAGGAAACUAUUACACUUCAGAGAACCUGUGUGACGGACGAGACUGAAGGAGGAGGCCAGUGGGAGGAGGAAACGAGGAUAACUUGGUCGUCGCGGAGUCAAGCUACGACUACAGAAGGACACAGGAAGGUGGGAGUGACGAGAGGAGGUCCCAAACACUCUCCCUGCGGCACCCCGGCACCUGCUUGCUACCCACGGGCCCGCAUCUCAUCCCGCCUCGCAAAAAGCAAUAUGGAUGUUGGUCGUAAGAUGGCGAAGAGUCACACGAGCGAGACGAUACUCUAGCAGACUUAUGUACUCUCUUUAAUGUGGCGGCCAGAACAGCACAACACAUCACAGCACAGGAUACUCCAGAUGAGAUAAGAGUGAGACCCUUCAGGUGACCUAAGCACUGCCCCCCCCCCCCGUGAUCUCCAGGACUGAUCCCUCGUGCCCCCGGUGACCCGACAGCCACCAUCGCCAUAACGCGCAGGAAGAAUUAAAAAGAUAUUUACGGAAGGGAAUAGAAGGAAUACAUUGAUGCUGAAGGAAUAAAAUAGUAGAUUAAUUUUCCUGAAGAAGAUUAGAAAAAAACAUGAACUUGUGUGUUUUCCCUUACCAAGAUAAAGAAAAGAGGUUGUUUGCCGUUAUAUUUCUUCACAGGAUGGAAUAAUUUAAUGGUUGUUGCUUCUUUUCAAAACAAGAUUAGCAGUUUUCACCCACGAUGACAGAAUAUCCACACACUAAUGCACUAACAGAAAAAAUGGACAUGCAUAUAUUUUCUUGCUGGCAUAGAAAGAAUAGUUUAAUGGUUAUAAUAUUUUUUUAGAGGAACACGUUUAUAUAUUGACGACUAUUAUAUUUGUUAUCAUAGUAGUUAAGAACGUACUGAUAGGAAACAACGGAAUUUAUGCAUGUUUCAUUACCGGGAUGGAAAGAACAGUGUAGUGGCUGUCAUAUAUAUAAUUCAGGAAUAUGAUCAUCCACCACAUUAAAUAGAAAAAAAAAAAAGGAAUUAUAUGUAUUUCACUACCUUGAUUGAAAGAACGGUUUAAUGACACACAUUUUUCACCGGAAUACAAUUUUUCCCACCGCACUUAAGACUAAACUAAAUCUAAGGCAUACAGUUUCUUUCACCUGCAAGUAUUCACCAGCGCAGCAUCUCGACGUAGCGCCACGAGGAAGCCGGAACACCCCAGGACCUCCACGGCGGCAUAAUUAAUACUGGGAAAUACCUGCGUUAUGAGGCCAAUAGGAAAACCCAUCUAGAGAAUACGUCACCGUCAUUCUCAAGUGACUCCUUUCUUGCCUCAGCUAUGUGUCCAAUCCCCGCGUGUUGAGACAAAGGCCAGACCAUCUACAGCUUCCGUCACUCCUGUCUCCUACAUUUUAACAAGCUCCAUUGGAAAUUACUGAGGAUUUUCAAGGGUGUUCUUUUGGAUACUAGCCCUUUCAGAUAUUCUUCUCCCAUAAUCCCAUACAACUUUUCAGAUCCUUAUUUUUGUAUUAAAGCAUGUUAAAUAUUCAUGUAGCGUG